AAUUUAUUCAUUUAAAUUUUUUAAAUUUUAUUUUCAAGUUAAUUUAUUUUACUUUCCUUAAGUUUUCUUAUUAUUAUUCAAAAUAAUCUAUGUCAUCUCAGUCUGGAAAACUUACAAAACUAUAAGCAUGUCUUUCAAAUCAAUUAAAUUUGCAUGUGUAUUUUGGCUUAAUUAAAUGGAUUAUUAUAACUAGAAUUUUCUUAAUGAUUAUGAAAUAUAUAGGUAAAAAUCCUGUCAAAUCCAUUUAAAAAGUGAAAGCAAAUAUUUGUCUGUUGUAUAGGUAGAAAUGCACUUUGUCUUACUCUAGACUACAAGAAAAGUAUAAAGUGGAUCACAUUUUCCUCUCACCUUCUAUUUCUAUGUGUUGUUCAUUUUUUGAGGGAGCUGUCUACCCCAUCACUGCCUGCUGGUUAGCACACACAUGUUAAUUUCAGACUUCCUAUUCCCUUCUCUAUCAAAAUAUAUGCUGGGUCUCAUUUCCUCAGUAAUAGACUCACCCUAACAAGGCAAUAGCUUGAUGAAACUCACUAACAUUAAUGCUUGGUAACAUCUGAGAAUAGUACCUUACUAUAAUUUUUUUUUUUGUUUUUAUGGAGAAAUUUUGGAAUAUAAUAUCUUAGCCUUAUAGAAUUGGUGGUAGCGAGACCUUUUACUGGUAUUUGAAUUAAACAAAAAGAUAACUUCUUUAAAUGUAAAACUAACUUCAUAGAUUACAAAAGUAUCUAUUAACUUAUUCACAACCUAAUUUUUAAAAAGUAUUUUAUAAAAUCACAUUAAAUGGACUCAUUUUUAUUUGUAGCCUGGUGGAAUGAAAGCAGGAACAUUUGAACCUUACCCAUCACAUUCUACUGACCCUUAUGUGCUUAAACCAGGAAAGGAGGUUUCCAAAAAAGAUGAUAAGGUUUUUCAUCCCCCAAGUGGACCAAAAAGCAGACCAAUUGAAAGUAUAAUGAGUUUGAAUGUCAAAAGGGCACUCAAUAUGAAGAACUACAAGACUGCUUCAUUACAGUCCUAUUAGCAACUGCAAGACACGUAACUUUCUAAAUCCUUACUACCAGUAACUUGUCAUCAAGAGCUAAUUAUUUGAAAAAAUGCAAAAUGCAAAGUGUGUGGAACAGAUAGCCUUGAAAAGAAAUUUAACCUCCAACUCCAAUAUUCUUCCUGAUUUUAGUACUACUACUUAAUAAAUAGUUUUUGCUAAUAAUUUAACAUGCGAUUUCUGACUUAUGUUUUAGAUUUGUGUUCCUAAGCAGAGUAUAAUGCUGAAAAAUGUUAUAAAAUCUUUAAAUAUAGUCUAUUACUUGGAACCUUAAAAUUUCACAGUUGAGGACAGGAACAGAGAAGGCUGGAGGAGUAGACUGUACACCACAAAUUCUUAACUUGCUUCUUUUUCUCAGAGUGUUGAAAAACUGUACUGAUAGUUAUCCAACUGUCAUAGCCUACCAUUAACACUCUAAACAAAGAAACAUAUUAGAUCCAUUUAUAUUGCACAAUUUAUAUAUGUAUACAUUAUAGUGAGACAUGUUUCAACUCAUGGUGUCAUAUCUUCUAUUUGUAACUUAGGUAGAACAUCAGAUUACUUAGCCAGUGGCAGCUCCAAGAUAAGUUGAAGGGGAGAGGGGGAAUGCAUGGAUUCAUUCUUAUAAUUUGUAAGAUGGAUUUGUUUUUGGUAUUCUCUCACGUUCCUGUAAAGCUGCCUCUUAGAGCAUCCAGAUAGAUCACUCCAAUGCUUUAGUUCCCAAGUUCUUUCUUCUCCUUAAUCUGCCCUCUCUCUUUUAAAAAUGUGCUUUAAAUAUGAUUAAAUAUAUUACUGUUAUUUA